rnacentral:rRNA from 1 species
UGAACCAGCCAAGUAGCGUGCAGGAUGACGGCCCUAUGGGUUGUAAACUGCUUUUAUGCGGGGAUAAAAGAGCCCACGUGUGGGUUUUUGCAGGUACCGCAUGAAUAAGGACCGGCUAAUUCCGUGCCAGCAGCCGCGGUAAUACGGAAGGUCCAGGCGUUAUCCGGAUUUAUUGGGUUUAAAGGGAGCGUAGGCGGAUUAUUAAGUCAGUGGUGAAAGACGGUGGCUCAACCAUCGUUAGCCAUUGAAACUGGUAGUCUUGAGUGCAGACAGGGAUGCUGGAACUCGUGGUGUAGCGGUGAAAUGCUUAGAUAUCACGAUGAACUCCGAUCGCGAAGGCAGGUGUCCGGGCUGCAACUGACGCUGAGGCUCGAAAGUGUGGGUAUCAAACAGGAUUAGAUACCCUGGUAGUCCACACAGUAAACGAUGUAUACUCGCGGUUUGCGAUAUAAUGUAAGCCGCCAAGCGAAAGCAUUAAGUAUACCACCUGGGGAGUACGCCGGCAACGGUGAAACUCAAAGGAAUUGACGGGGGCCCGCACAAGCGGAGGAACAUGUGGUUUAAUUCGAUGAUACGCGAGGAACCUUACCCGGGCUUGAAUUGCAGAGGAAGGAUUUAGAGAUAAUGACGCCCUUCGGGGUCUCUGUGAAGGUGCUGCAUGGUUGUCGUCAGCUCGUGCCGUGAGGUGUCGGCUUAAGUGCCAUAACGAGCGCAACCCCUGUCUACGGUUGCCAUCAGGUAAUGCUGGGAACUCCGUAGAGACUGCCGUCGUAAGGCGUGAGGAAGGUGGGGAUGACGUCAAAUCAGCACGGCCCUUACAUCCGGGGCGACACACGUGUUACAAUGGCAGGGACAAAGGGCAGCUACCGAGCGAUCGGAUGCAAAUCUCUAAACCCUGUCUCAGUUCGGAUCGGAGUCUGCAACUCGACUCCGUGAAGCUGGAUUCGCUAGUAAUCGCGCAUCAGCCAUGGCGCGGUGAAUACGUUCCCGGGCCUUGUACACACCGCCCGUCAAGCCAUGG